rnacentral:rRNA from 1 species
AGGAGGGUUUGGAUCAUGGCUCAGAUUGAACGCUGGCGGCAUGCCUAACACAUGCAAGUCGAACGGAAACGAUGGGAGCUUGCUCCCAGGCGUCGAGUGGCGGACGGGUGAGUAAUGCUUGGGAAUCUGCCCAGUAGUGGGGGACAACUUCCGGAAACGGAAGCUAAUACCGCAUACGUCCUACGGGAGAAAGUGGGGGAUCUUCGGACCUCACGCUACUGGAUGAGCCCAAGUCGGAUUAGCUUGUUGGUGGGGUAAAGGCCUACCAAGGCGACGAUCCGUAGCUGGUCUGAGAGGACGAUCAGCCACACUGGGACUGAGACACGGCCCAGACUCCUUACGGGAGGCAGCCAGCUGGCGNAAUCAUUGCACAAUGCGNNCGCAAGCCUGAUGCACCAANGCCGCCGUGUGU